CCCGGUAGGACGUAAACAAUCAACCGAUAUCCCACGCGAGUAGUUGCGUUUUAUCAAAUAGUAACAUCCUGGGAUCGUAAUAAUCGAGUGUGGGUUGAUUUCAAACAUCCGAAAUUUUAUUGAUACCACAACACUGGGUAUGUGGCUGUUUUACGGUUUUACAAUGGUGUUUUCGAGGUUAUGACGGGUCAGCUGCGUGGGCAAAUGUGGUGAUAAAAUAUGAAUCUUUUCUUCAAAGGUCAGCUAUGGGAGACCAAACUCAGUCGUUGUGUAUUUGCUUCGUACAUGGAGUGCGAAGCAUCCGGGAGACUAAACGACCCCAUUUAGACUGGCGAUUGUUAGUGUGACGUCAGGAUCCUGAUUUGACCCUGCAAUUGUACACUAGACUAGUACCGAGUGAUUUUGUAUGUUAUACACAGAUUUCAGGUAUAAAACCAGGUUGUGGAAUAUUUGGAUAAUCUUAAAGUGGAAUAUCUGUAAAAAUUGUUGCCUAAUGGACCAACUUAUUGUGUAUUUACCGCAACAGCAGAAUACAUUGAUAAAUGUGGAGUAUUUUAAAUAAAUGGCCUACCUUAAUUUAACUAAUAAAAAUAACAUGGUAUUACGAGAUUUAAUGUAAGCGUAGGCGGCAACCUUGCGUGCGAAAACGAAAUUUUCGAUGUCAUUACAAUGAUUAAGCAAAACGUAACGUGAAAAAUAAAAAUAAACUUCACAAAUAGA